rnacentral:rRNA from 1 species
GUUGUUGCAGUUAAAAAGCUCGUAGUUGGAUCUCAGGCUUGUGGCCGGUGGUCCGCUCGAUACGGGUGUGCACUGCCGUGUCCGGCCUACGUCUGGUCUAACGUCCAUAGUGCCCUCAACCGGGUGCUAUGGAAUGCCAGAAAGUUUACUCUGAAAAAAUUAGAGUGCUCAAAGCAAGCCGUUUGUGCUUGAAUACUGUUGCAUGGAAUAAUGGAAUAGGACCUCGGUUCUAUUUUGUUGGUUUUCGGAGUCGAGGUAAUGAUUAAGAGGGACAGACGGGGGCAUUCGUAUUGCGCCGUUAGAGGUGAAAUUCUUGGAUCGGCGCAAGACGAACAACUGCGAAAGCAUUUGCCAAGGAUGUUUUCAUUAAUCAAGAACGAAAGUCAGAGGUUCGAAGACGAUCAGAUACCGUCGUAGUUCUGACCAUAAACGAUGCCAACUGGCGAUCCGCCGCAGUCUGGCUUAAAGGACUCGGCGGGCAGCCUCCGGGAAACCUAAGUCUAUGGGUUCCGGGGGAAGUAUGGUUGCAAAGCUGAAACUUAAAGGAAUUGACGGAAGGGCACCACCAGGAGUGGAGCCUGCGGCUUAAUUUGACUCAACACGGGAAAACUCACCCCGGCCAGGACACCGUA